GUACUCACUUUGGCAGCACAUAUACUAUAACUGGAACAAUACUGAGAAGAUUAACAUGGCCUCUGCACAAGGAUGAUAUAUAAAUUUGUGAAGUGUUCAAUGUUUUG